rnacentral:rRNA from 1 species
GACGAACGCUGGCGGCGUGCUUAACACAUGCAAGUCGAACGAAGUGGCGAACGGGUGAGUAACGCGUAAUCAACCUGCCCUUCAGAGGGGGACAACAGGAGGAAACGACUGCUAAUACCGCAUACUUAAGGAGGGGAUUGGGUCUGCGUAGCUAGUUGGGGGGGUAACGGCCCACCAAGGCGAAGAUGAGUAGCCGGUCUGAGAGGAUGGACCGCCACAUCGGGACUGAGACACCGCCCCGACUCCUACGGGAGGCAGCAGUGGGGAAUCUUUCCCAAUGGACGAAAGUCUGACGGAGCCACGCCGCGUGGGUUAAGACGGCCUUCGGGUUGUAAAGCUAUGUUAAUCGGGACGCGGUACCGGAAUAGAAAGCCACGGCUAACUACGUGCCAGCAGCCGCGGUAAUAC